GCGCCUGUGGCUCAGUAGGGCACUGGCCCCAUAUGCCAGAGGUGGUGGGUUCAAACCCAGCCCUGGCCCA
rnacentral:tRNA from 1 species